AAAAAAAAAAAAAGAAAAGAAAAUUAUGGGUAAUGAAUUCAGUUGCCUUAGUCAAGUCCUAAGAAAUGCAUCCUAUAGCUCGAUUGUCACAUGAAAUGGUUUUGAAUUGUAAUCAUAUGCAUCAUAUCCUAAUGAAUUGAACUUGAUAUGAGACCUUAAUCAGCUGUUGAGCCUCAACCGACUGUUCUACUAUCUACCACCUGUAACUAACGCUUUUCCCCCCUGAAACAGCGG
rnacentral:misc_RNA from 1 species